CCUCCCCGAGCCCCGCUGCCUCCCGCCUCCCUCCUCCCCGGCGCCCGCCUCCCCGCGGCGUGCCCGCCUCCCUCCCUCCGUCCCCCGGCCGGCAGCCGGGCAGCGGGCGGGCGCUGCCGCCGGCCCCACAGCACCGCGGCCGGGCUGCGCGGAGCGGAGCGGAGCGGAGCGGGGCUGGCUGGGCGGGGAGGGAGGGAGGGAGGGGAGUGGAUGUGUGUGUGUGUGGAAAGAGCGGGGGGGGGCGAAGGGGGGGAAAUCAAAUAAAUAAAUAAGCUCCCCACCAAUAAGAGAGGCAGCGGCUGGCGAGCAGGCUGGGCUCGGCUGGGAGAGGUCCUCGCUCGGCUGCGUGUUUGUUUGUGUUGUGACCAGAGCCGCGAAGUUCAGAGCCCAAACGUGUUGCUCCGCUCCGCUCCACCUGCUCGGCCGGCGGGGGGGUGCCGCUUCGGCCGCCCCGCCGCCCUCCGGGGCCGAAGGACGGGAGAGGAGCGCGGGGCCGCGCCCGCCGCCCGCCCGCCUUCCCCUCAGCCACCGCCGGGGAGGCGACGGACAGGUGUAUCUCCAGAAAAACAAAAAAUUAAUGACAGGAUCAGAAUACACUCUGGAUUUUCUUCCCAUGUGCAGACUACACCUGAAGUGUUGAAUUCACAUACAGCAACACCUUCCUGUAAUGUCCACUGCUGUGCCUUCUGACUUCAAAGAAAAUUGUCAUCUGCUGGAGGAGUGUCAUUUCUCAUGUCUCAUAAGAGGACAGCGUGGCACCUCCACAUCUGUUUCCACAUUUCUAAAGGAAGACAUGUUCCAGUAUUUACUAAGCCAGACUUCAGUGGGAAUAGUCAUCUGCUUAAUAGCCUACUCUGUCUUAAUGUAUUUCUUUUAAUGUAAGAUGUGCUAUAAGUGAAAGUGACAGAUUAAAAAUGAUUAAAUACCUGUUGUAUUGCAUCGUGUUGUACUUCUGGUGCAGUGCAUUUCACUGGGAAACAUUGCAGUUUUAAGCUAAUAAAAAAUCAUGAAGACUGCUUUGGC
rnacentral:lncRNA from 1 species